UGGGGAAUCUUAGACAAUGGGCGCAAGCCUGAUCUAGCCAUGCCGCGUGGGUGAUGAAGGCCUUAGGGUCGUAAAGCCCUUUCGCCGGGGAAGAUAAUGACGGUACCCGGUAAAGAAACCCCGGCUAACUCCGUGCCAGCAGCCGCGGUAAUACGGAGGGGGUUAGCGUUGUUCGGAAUGACUGGGCGUAAAGCGCGCGUAGGCGGGCUGGAAAGUUGGGGGUGAAAUCCCGGGGCUCAACCCCGGAAUGGCCUUCAAAACUCCCAGCCUAGAGUUCGAGAGAGGUGAGUGGAAUUCCGAGUGUAGAGGUGAAAUUCGUAGAUAUUCGGAGGAACACCAGUGGCGAAGGCGGCUCACUGGCUCGACACUGACGCUGAGGUGCGAAAGCGUGGGGAGCAAACAG
rnacentral:rRNA from 1 species